rnacentral:rRNA from 1 species
UAGUCCACGCCGUAAACGAUGAGAACUAGAUGUCGGGAGGGUUUAGCCUUUCGGUGUCGCAGCUAACGCAUUAAGUUCUCCGCCUGGGGAGUACGCCGGCAACGGUAAAACUCAAAGGAAUUGACGGGGACCCGCACAAGCGGUGGAGCAUGUGGUUUAAUUCGAUGCAACGCGAAGAACCUUACCUGCCCUUGACAUUGACAGAACCCUUUAGAGAUAGAGGGGUGCCUUCGGGCCUGGAAAACAGGUGCUGCAUGGCUGUCGUCAGCUCGUGUCGUGAGAUGUUGGGUUAAGUCCCGCAACGAGCGCAACCCUUAUCCUUAGUUGCCAGCGGUUCGGCCGGGAACUCUAGGGAGACUGCCAGCGACAAGCUGGAGGAAGGUGGGGAUGAUGUCAAGUCAUCAUGGCCCUUAUGGGCUGGGCUACACACAUGCUACAAUGGUGGUUACAGUAGGACGCAAUGGAGCAAUCCGGAGCAAAUCCUCAAAGAUCAUCUCAGUUCGGAUU